rnacentral:rRNA from 1 species
GCGUAAUACUAUUAUAAAGAUCAGAUUUAUAAUAUUGAUUGCGACCUCGAUGUUGAAUUAAAGUAAAAAUUAAAUGGAGAAGUUUAAUAUUUUAGUCUGUUCGACUAUUAAAAUUUUACAUGAUUUGAGUUUAGAUCGGCGUGAGCCAGAUCGGAUUCUAUCUUUAAUAAGAUAGUAAUAAUUUUGUACGAAAGGACUAAUUA